ensembl:misc_RNA Y_RNA Y RNA
GGGUGGUCUGAGUGCAGUGGUGUUUACAACUAUUGAUUACAGCCAGUUACAGGUUCCUUUAUCCUUUCUCCACUCCCACUGCUUCACUUGAUGAGUAUAUU